UGUUAAAGAUUUCAUCCAUUUCUAGUGUUAAAAAUUGGCAUGGCUAACAGAAUAACCAGACAGUUACAAACCAAUUUUUAACAGAAAAAAUAGAUGAAAUUUUUAUUA
rfam:Gossypium raimondii Chr01_contig_100, whole genome shotgun sequence.